AGGCGCGGUGCUGAGAGACGUGGGGCUGGGAUUCUGUGCUCGGCCUUUGGCCGUGCCGCCCCACUGCCUGGCUGCUGAGUGUCGUUCCUGCCGCUGAGGGGGAAACCGAGCUCUGUGGCUCCUGGGUGUCGCCGCCCCGCCUGUAAUCAGGGUCUGGAGGUGAGAGCCUUUGUGCUCUGCUGGCAGCAUGUGUGGGGCGACCGCCUCGUUAGCGGGGUGCUGGUCAAGAUGCCCCUGGCUGGGAGAGAGGGAGCCUCCCUUGGCCUCUGGGACCUGGGCUGCCCUGUAAGUCAGGGUGUGGCGAUGCCCUUGAGUCCCAGGCCCUUUGCGAUGGAUGCGGCGGGUUGGGGCGCCCUGUAAGCAGGGGAGCCGACCCUCAGCCCGCUGCUUUGUGUGCCCAGCCUUCUUUGCCCAGGGUGCCCCCCUCUGCGGCCUGCUGCAGCACCGUUGGGAACCCCGCGGGGCAUCAGUAGGGAGCUGCUGCAGGAGGAAGGCGGCAAAGCGGUGCGUGGACCUGGGAGGAAGGAGCGAGCAAGAAGAGGAGCCGGAGCCUGCGGAUGGGCCAAGGAGAGGCGCCCUGGGCAAAAGCAUCUCCCUGUCACCAGGGACACAGUCAUGUUGCAGUAGAGCUUUGCCGGCACUCUGGAUGACCGGGCCGGCUUUGUGCUGGGCGACCUCCCUGUAACCAGGGCUCGGGUCUUUGCUGUAGUUGGCCUUUUGCCUCGUUGCUCCUUUGGCUGCCUGGGGAACGUGGGCCCCUGUAGGAAGGGCGAGAGCCACGUCCUCCGCACCCGAGUGGGGAAAUGGAGCUCGCUGGACCCCACGGCCCCCUGUAAGCAGGGUAGUGCCGUUUCCCUGCCGCUCUUGGUUUGGCCGCUCGGCGUUGUUGCCUGCUGGUGGCCUUGCCCGUGUGACGACCCUGUACUCGGGGUGCUUGUUCUGCUAUAUGGCCUUGGGCCUUUACGUGAGAAGCCCCGUGGCACGUUGAGGUCUGUGGCCUCCGUGCAGCCUGGGGGCGGGUCAGAGGCUCUUGUCUGCUUGCUCGCGGGGUACGGGGUUUUUUUUCCCCAGGCCUUGGCUGCACUGCCUUCUCCUUCCCUUCUGGAAAGCUGGUAUCUGUGUGUGUGCGUUCCCCUUCCUUCCCUUGUUUGUGUUUGCGUGUGAGCGAUGGUGCGAUUGAACCUUCCCUUUAGGCCUCCAUGAAAACAGCUGCAGCUUAGCUUUGGCUUCCCGGGGGGGAAUGGAGGACUUGGUGGAUGCAGCAAGGGGGAUGUUCCCUCUCAGUCCCGCGAGCGGCGCGAGUGUCCUCCUGUCUUGCCCCCUUUUUUUGCUAGGACGUUGCGGAGCCGUGUGGUAGUUGUGGGGCUGAGGCCACCCUGUAUCCAGGGCUUGGGUCUGUGC